ensembl:snoRNA LOC120102700 small nucleolar RNA SNORA17
UCUGCCAUCUACAGGUAUAGAAGGUGUUUCCUUUGUGCCACACACGUGUCAUUAGGUGGCAGAUAAGAGAGAGGAUGUGUCUCCUAUCAGUAUUCUGACCUAUAAACAUCUGAAUGAUUAGUAGCCAAGCAUU